rnacentral:hammerhead_ribozyme from 1 species
AUCCAACUGAAGAGUCCCAGAUAAGACGAAAUGCACAUCCAGGAU